rnacentral:sRNA from 1 species
AGACACCAUCGUCCUAUUUUUUCACCCUGCUUGCAUUCCCAUUAACUCCUCUUCAGCAAAACAAAAAAAUCAAGCCUUACUGGUUCUCCCUACCUCCUGAUAGCUACCUACCUAGACUGCUUGGCAGACACAGUUCUGUAGGCUACUUUCUUAUCAAGAGUUGGCAAUUAGAAGAGGCCCUUGGAGAGGAGGUGGGAGUGCUCCUUAAAGUCCUCAUCAGAAUGGAAUUGCUGACCGGGUUCAUUAGGCUACGGAUUUGCAGCAAGACUUGGAUUCUAUUGCAAUCCUCCUCGCCCUCUGACUAAUAUGAAUGACACCGUGGUUAGCCACAUGUCCUCUGGAGUGCCCACUCCCACCAAGAGUGUUCUGGACAGUCCUAGCCGACUGGAUGAGGAACACCGUCUUAUAGCUCGCUAUGCUGCCCGGCUGGCUGCAGAAGCAGGAAACGUGACUCGUCCUCCCACUGACUUGAGCUUUAACUUUGAUGCCAACAAACAACAAAGACAGCUUAUUGCAGAACUGGAAAACAAAAACAG